AGAAACGGGGCUGUGGCUGUCCCAGCACUGUGGGUUCAGAUAGCAGCUGGACAAACCUGCGACAGAGGAUGUCAGAGGUCCUGCCCAGCCUGAUAGGCUGAGGCCAGCUGGGAUGCUGGGAAGAACUAGACACUGGGGUCAGACACUCAGGGUGCACAUCCCAGGGAAGCCACCUGUUGGCGGAGUGGUCUUGGGACACCCCUCUGUCAUGGUGAUCAAGACGGCUAGGGGGCAGGGAAGGCGAGAAGAGGGAGGAGACACUGGUGUGACUCAUAGCAAAGUAAGAGCUUCUUCCCUCCUCUCUGCACCCCAAAUACGGCUGCAUUAGAACUAAGCAAGCUAUUGAUACCACACUGACCUAAAAAUAACAAAUGGCGAAGUCAGUGGCCUAGGAGGCUGGAGAAUCUUAACACCAGGUGGCCCAGGGCAUACCCAGAGCUUCUGGCAACCGAAAUCUGGAAAAAGUGGUAACAGUUCCAUCUGGUCAAAUGACAAAAGCCUAAAUUUGUAUCAAGUAGUGGCUGAUAACAGUCAAUUUCUACCUAGAAGGCACUACGUUGGAUCUAGGUGUUCAGGGUUCUUUAAGUCAUGCUCUGAAUGAAUAAGCAAUGAUUCCAAAGUAUGUGAAGCUAGCCUCACAGAUUGAAGUCCUUGAAAUCACACUUUCCAAACAGCUUCAAAUGAAGAACAAGCUCAUACAAACUCAAGAGUGCUUGAUCGAUGAGCAACUCCAGCAAGUGAAGACAUCACAGUCUGGGGCAGUGCAUGGCUGACCCCUUUACCUGUUGAACUAGCUGCUUUGGCCCUUGUUUCAAGGGAAAAGGGCUCUAGAGGAAUUGGGGGUUUGGUCCUCUUAAGGUCUGAGGUCUUUGGGUCUCUGGGUUUGGUCAGGCCCUUAGGGACUGUGGGCUUAGGCUGAGCAAGGGUAGCCUUGGGACAUGUCUCAAACUCUGGUGAAGUCAAGAAAGGCCACAGAGUGGAAAAUCCAGAAUCUACAUCCCAUUCGUGCCAGAGCCCUGUUCCAUCCACUCUCUGAGCAGAUGUCUCCCUACGAAGGCCCAAGGGACUCCUGAAAAGCAGGCACGAAUAGACCGCAGAGUUAAACAGUGCAAGGGCAUGCUGUGGACCCACCCACUUUGGGUAAAUCUUUUGACUUCUCUGUGAAUCAGAAAAUCAAUGGGAUAGACUAUGCCUCACAGGGCCACCCUAGGGAUCGAAUAAGAUGAUGGAUACCAAAGUGCUUCAUUAACAAUAAAGUGCCAAAAAGAGUUA
rnacentral:lncRNA from 1 species